rnacentral:rRNA from 1 species
UAGGGAAUCUUCGGCAAUGGACGAAAGUCUGACCGAGCAACGCCGCGUGAGUGAAGAAGGUUUUCGGAUCGUAAAACUCUGUUGUUAGAGAAGAACAAGGACGUUAGUAACUGAACGUCCCCUGACGGUAUCUAACCAGAAAGCCACGGCUAACUACGUGCCAGCAGCCGCGGUAAUACGUAGGUGGCAAGCGUUGUCCGGAUUUAUUGGGCGUAAAGCGAGCGCAGGCGGUUUCUUAAGUCUGAUGUGAAAGCCCCCGGCUCAACCGGGGAGGGUCAUUGGAAACUGGGAGACUUGAGUGCAGAAGAGGAGAGUGGAAUUCCAUGUGUAGCGGUGAAAUGCGUAGAUAUAUGGAGGAACACCAGUGGCGAAGGCGGCUCUCCGGUCUGUAACUGACGCUGAGGCUCGAAAGCGUGGGGAGCAAACAGG